AUACGGAGGGUGCAAGCGUUAAUCGGAAUUACUGGGCGUAAAGCGUGCGUAGGUGGUUUGUUAAGUUAGAUGUGAAAGCCCCGGGCUCAACCUGGGAACUGCAUUUGAAACUGGCAUACUAGAGUAUAGGAGAGGAAAGUGGAAUUUCAGGUGUAGCGGUGAAAUGCGUAGAUAUCUGAAGGAACAUCAAUGGCGAAGGCAGCAUUCUGGACUAAUACUGACACUGAGGUACGAAAGCGUGGGUAGCAAACAGGAUUAGAAACCCCAGUAGUCC
rnacentral:rRNA from 1 species